CUACGUGCCAGCAGCCGCGGUAAUACGUAGGGCGCGAGCGUUGUCCGGAAUUAUUGGGCGUAAAGGGCUUGUAGGCGGUUGGUCGCGUCUGCCGUGAAAUCCUCUGGCUUAACUGGGGGCGUGCGGUGGGUACGGGCUGACUUGAGUGCGGUAGGGGAGACUGGAACUCCUGGUGUAGCGGUGGAAUGCGCAGAUAUCAGGAAGAACACCGGUGGCGAAGGCGGGUCUCUGGGCCGUUACUGACGCUGAGGAGCGAAAGCGUGGGGAGCGAACAGGAUUAGAUACCCUGGUAGUCCACGCUGUAAACGUUGGGCACUAGGUGUGGGGGCCACCCGUGGUCUCUGCGCCGUAGCUAACGCUUUAAGUGCCCCGCCUGGGGAGUACGGCCGCAAGGCUAAAACUCAAAGGAAUUGACGGGGGCCCGCACAAGCGGCGGAGCAUGCGGAUUAAUUCGAUGCAACGCGAAGAACCUUACCAAGGCUUGACAUGC
rnacentral:rRNA from 1 species